AUGGCGAGCUCGCUGGCCCGCCUGGGGGCGGCGCUGCCCCGCGCGCGCCCGCUCGCCGCCGCGGCGGCGAUGGGAGCGGCGCGCAUCCCGCCGCGGGGAGCGCGGUGGGACCCCGUUGCCCCCCGCCCCGCCUCGCCGUACGCUCGCAGAUGCCAGGCUCACUCGGACGUGAAGGCGCCCCCUGCAUCGGAGUCCAAGGAUGCGGGGAGCUCGUCCCAGAGCUGGAGGAUCAAGAUGCUCUACGACGGUGAAUGCCCGCUCUGUAUGCGUGAGGUAAACAUGUUGAGGGAAAGGAACAAAUCAUAUGGAGCUAUAAAUUUUGUCGACAUCAGCUCGAAAGAUUACUCUCCGAAGGACAAUCAGGAUCUUGAUUAUGAAACUGCCAUGGGGAGGAUACAUGCCAUUCUCUCAGAUGGAACUAUCGUCACAGAUGUUGAGGCAUUCAGAAGGCUUUAUGAGGAAGUUGGACUGGGAUGGGUUUAUGCAGUUACUAAGUAUGAGCCUGUGGCUACCAUAGCAAAUGCAGUAUAUGGUGUAUGGGCCAAAUACCGUAUGGAAGUUACAGGUCGACCUCCCCUGGAGGAAAUUUUUGCAGCCCGAAGACAAGCGGGCGAAUGUAAAGAUGAUAAAGCAUGCAAGAUGUGA
rnacentral:rRNA from 1 species